UACGUAGGCAGCGAGCGUUGUUCGGAGUUACUGGGCGUAAAGCGUGCGCAGGCGGUUUUGUAAGCCAGAUGUGAAAUCCCCGGGCUUAACCUGGGAAUGGCAUUUGGGACUGCAAGGCUGGAGUGCGGCAGAGGAGACUGGAAUUCCUGGUGUAGCAGUGAAAUGCGUAGAUAUGCGGAGGAACACCGAUGGCGAAGGCAAUCCCCUGGGCCUGCACUGACGCUCAUGCACGAAGGCGUGGGGAGCAAACAGG
rnacentral:rRNA from 1 species